UCCGGUUUAUCACCAGCAGUCUGCCUAGAGUCCCCAACUAAAUGAUGGUAACUAGGCACAAGGGUUGCGCUCGUUACGGGACUUAACCCAACAUCUCACGACACGAGCUGACGACAGCCAUGCAGCACCUGUCUCUUAGUUCCCGAAGGCACACCCACAUCUCUGUAGGCUUCUAAGGAUGUCAAGGGUAGGUAAGGUUUUUCGCGUUGCAUCGAAUUAAACCACAUGCUCCACCGCUUGUGCGGGCCCCCGUCAAUUUCUUUGAGUUUUAGCCUUGCGGCCGUAUUCCCCAGGCGGAGUACUUAAUGCGUUUGCGUCACUACCGAAAGGUCUUAGCCUUCCAACAGCUAGUACUCAUCGUUUACAGCGUGGACUAC
rnacentral:misc_RNA from 1 species